UAUACUUAAGAGCAACGGGGGUCAUCUGCAGCAAACACUUGGAGGGGAGAAUCGAGGCUUAAUGUGCUUGGAUGAAUCCCUACUCUUAACAGGCGCCCGGCUACAGGAGCCUCCUGGGAAGACGCAUGGCCAGUUCACAGAAGAGCUCAGCCUAAGAAUCUACAUGGGGACAAACCAAUGGAUGAAGAAUUCUUGUGGCCCAAACAUGACACAAAGUUGGAUGGAGAGCCCCCUGAAGAAGCCCAGCAGCACGCAUGCUGCGGAUAAGCAAGGAGUUGGCCCAGAAUGAACUAGAAGGAAUAAAAUACAAUCAAUCUGGA